GCUCCCUUGUGCGCAUGUGUGACUUUGCCGCACAUACUUCAUAGGGCGGCAUUCAUGCCGCCCUCUGAAGUCCUGAGCGCACUACCGCGCAUGCGUGCGGUGUGCGCAGCCGCGAGCUGAGCUGACUGACAGCUCAGCUCGCGGUCUUUGCCCGCCCCCUCUCCUCUGCUGACAGGCAGAAGAGAGAAGGCGCGCACACAGUGCC